rnacentral:rRNA from 1 species
CCCUUAGAUGUUCAGGGCCGCACGCGCGCUACACUGAUGCAUUCAACAAGCCUAGCCUUGACCGAGAGGUCCGGGUAAUCUUUGAAACUGCAUCGUGAUGGGGCUAGAUUAUUGCAAUUAUUAAUCUUCAACGAGGAAUGCCUAGUAAGCGUGAUUCAUCAAAUCGCGUUGAUUACGUCCCUGCCCUUUGUACACACCGCCCGUCGCUCCUACCGAUUGAAUGUGUUGGUGAGGAGCUCGGAUUGGCAGCAGUUGGUGGUUCGCCACCGGCUAUUGCUGAGAAGUCCUCCAAACCGCCCCAUUUAGAGGAAGGAGAAGUCGUAACA